GUGACGCCCGAGUGAUCCACACCCUCACCAGCACUCAGGCAAAGGGUGGAGUUCCAUCUCUGAAGCUAAACAGGCAAUUUGGACAGCACAUUCUUAGCAGCGGAACCUGGACAGCAUUUACCAGACAAGAGACUUGUUCCACUGC